GCAUUGCUCACUUUAUUAUCUCCCCUAAAAAAAUGAGUGAGACGUUAGUAAUGUAUUAACUCAAAUGUGACUAUUACAUUGUACUAAAGAUUAUGGUGUGCAUGCUCUUAAGGGAUCUAAUUUAAUAAAGCUUAUAUUGGUUCAUUUAAUUAAUUUAUAUAACCAUGUACGUUGUAUUACCCAUGAGUAGCGGAUUUCGUAUG